UAAUGUAUCUGUCAAACUGAGAGACACAUUGUGUGUGUGUGAUUGGACUGACAGCAGAAACCAGACCUGAAUUAAAGUCAACAUUCAGAGACUCAGUCUUUCUAAGCAUCCUCAGAGCUGCUUGCUAUUCAUCUCUGCUGACAGUUAAAGAAACCAUGUUUGCAGACUAAACAGAUCCGGCAAAAGAAAUUCUUGUAUCACGUCUUGUUUUCCAGAAAAGAAGCCUCCCUGUUCAGUAGACGUUUGCAAACUAACGUCUUCCACAAGUUUCACUCAAAAGCACUUCAAAAACACUGCUUUGUAUCCAGGAUGGGUGGAACAUGAUUUGUGUGGUGGUGACUGAAGCCUCAGUGUCAUUUCCAAGUUGAAGGUAGAGGAAGAGUCACCAAGAGAAGACUUAAGAGGAGAUGGAGAGAUUCAGGGAGGAGCUGAGCUGUUACUGAACUAUAGAAGAGAGAGAAACUUCAAACCACAAACAUUACCUUCAUUCAACAUGCUGUCACUGGACUAUUAUGGACUUUCUCUGAUGGUUGUCACUCUUCUAACAGGUGUCAGCUGUGAAGAUCUCAGUCCAGUCAAAGAUGAACAGUCCAGUUUAGAAGACAGCUCUGUUACUCUGUCCUACAGAUACAGCAAGAAAGCUGCAGCUGAUGAUUACUUCUUCUGGUAUCGACAAGAUCCAGGAAAGCCACCAGAGCUCCUCACCUCUCACUCAGGAACAGGAGGAAUAUUAAUGAGUCCAAAGUCUGGACUGUCUGUUACAGUGAGUGAGGAAAACACUCACAUGAAUGUUCAGAUCUCCUCUGCUGCAGUGACAGACUCUGCUCUGUACUACUGUGCUGUGAGGCCCACAGUGACAGCAAACCCACAGUCUCUGUACAAAAACACAAGCUGACACACUGACAAGCUGCUGGAAGCCUUUUUUCCACACUGUUGGACUCAACUUUUUACCUCCACUAGAGGGCGACAUUAUCAAGUAGGCGGUGCACUACUUCUGCACUGUGUUCAACCAUUGUGUCAAUAAUAAGUGCUGCUGUGAAGAGAACAAUUCUCACACUGAAUGUUGAACAGCAGCUGCUUUCUCCUGUUGCUUUAAACCUUGUUGUACAGAUGGAACUUUGGCUGUGGAUUAUUCUUGCUGCUCUUUUCUUUGGUGAGACACAAAGAACAACAUGUUUUUAUUCUCUUCUAAAGACUGACGCAAACUGGAGUUCAGAGCAGAAAUCUGUUUCUGUCCACACAGUAACUCU